rnacentral:rRNA from 1 species
UACGUAGAGUCCAAGCGUUGUCCGGAAUUAUUGGGCGUAAAGAGCUCGUAGGUGGUGUGUCGCGUCGGCUGUGAAAACUCGGGGCUCAACUCCGAGCUUGCAGUCGAUACGGGCAGGCUAGAGUUCGGCAGGGGGAGACUGGAAUUCCUGGUGUAGCGGUGAAAUGCGCAGAUAUCAGGAGGAACACCGGUGGCGAAGGCGGGUCUCUGGGCCGAUACUGACACUGAGGAGCGAAAGCGUGGGGAGCGAACAGG